rnacentral:rRNA from 1 species
CUGUCGCUAUGGGAUGGCCCCGCGGUGCAUUAGCUAGUUGGUAAGGUAACGGCUUACCAAGGCAAUGAUGCAUAGCCGAGUUGAGAGACUGAACGGCCACAUUGGGACUGAGACACGGCCCAAACUCCUACGGGAGGCAGCAGUAGGGAAUCUUCCACAAUGGACGCAAGUCUGAUGGAGCAACGCCGCGUGAGUGAAGAAGGUUUUCGGAUCGUAAAGCUCUGUUGUUGGUGAAGAAGGAUAGAGGUAGUAACUGGCCUUUAUUUGACGGUAAUCAACCAGAAAGUCACGGCUAACUACGUGCCAGCAGCCGCGGUAAUACGUAGGUGGCAAGCGUGUCCGGAUUUAUUG